CGUCAAUUUCAAAAGAAACCCUCGCUUUUUCCCCCUUCUCGUUGGAAUCCUCGCCAUCUUCCUGAAACCCCAAGCUUCGAUCUUGCCGUCAGCCGAUCGACUCGGCUCAAGGUAUUUCGUUCCUGCAUCAGCGGCAAGGAUGGGGGCCGAGGGGAAGUGAUGGAGCAUGCGAAUCUUGGGAUUUGCCUCAGGUCAGUUCAAUGGCAUAUGAUCUUGCACCCUGCUGCCAAUUUAAUCAGUUUUGAUGUUUGCUAGAUUACUGGAGCAAUUUAUUUAUGGUUGCAGAUGAACUCAGAAACUAUGGUGAAAGAUUACAAAGUAUCUACGUGAGUUAUUUCAUUUUGUUUCUUAGGAGAAUUCGAUGAGUUUACAGAUAUUACCUCAACCCAAGAAUGGUAUCUUUUAACUGAAUUCUGAAACGGUACAUGCACCUACAAUGCACGUCAUAUUGGAUGGUGGAUUUUGAUUGUGUCCCGCAAUGACAAUGUUUUCUCAGCUGCCAAAAUAAAAUUUACGUAAGUUUAUUGCUUACAUUGACUCGCUUCAGUGAUAAUGUUUUGUUAGCCACCUGAAUGAUCUUUUACCUGAGGGUAUUGCCUUGCAUCGACUCUCUUCAGACCUGUACUGGUAGGAGUCUUGUGCACUGGACCAAUCUUAGUAUAGACAAGUUCAUUAGUGCUUUGUAGUGGAGGAUCGACAUCAAUGGGACUAAGUAAUAGCAGAUCUUCUAGGGUUAUUGAGAUCUUAAACAAGAGAACAUAUACUCAAUUCCCAGGAGAUGGACAUUUCUCAGAACAAUGCAAUCAUGGUCUUGGAGAAAGUGGCAGGUUAAAUUCUAAAAUGAAACAUAUUGGUAGCUUGGGACAGAGGUCAGAGUCACCCAUGUGAGAGCAUUCACAAAAAUCCAACGUUUGUUGCCAACUCCUUUCAAUGAAGGCUUUUAAUUUUUGGUUCAGUGGGGAUCUGCUAACCUCUGUAACCUCCACAUGCAUCAACAACAUGCUCACUUUGCAGGUUUCAGAUUCUUGCCUUAUCUUAGCCUUUCUAUUGUUGCUCUUCUCUCGAUGCAUCUUUUACAAAGAUCUAAAGUAGUAGUUAUUUUUACUAUUUGAACUAGUAGUAUCAUAUGUUCCUGUAUCAUAAGAUGCUGAUGAUCUUGUAUGCCAUUAAACUAAUUAUCAAAUAUGAGUAAAAUAUAUUGUGGUAUGAUUCUUUAAUUCUUUAGUGAAAUGGGCAUGGUAAACUUCAUCCUAAAUGUUCUCUUAAAAAUUGUACCAUAUGUGUAUGUUGUAGGCUUGUAGCUACACUACAUGUAUGAAAACGUUGUCCGAAAUUACAUGUAUCCUUGAAUGCAGUAAAAAACUUUCAGUACUUUGAAUUGAAGACAAAUGACAAAGAUGUAAACUUUCAAAACACAAUUAUAAAAACCUACAUAGCAAAGUCUUGUGAUUGCUACAAAAAUUAACCACCUUUUUAUGCAUAAGAAACAAAAAAAAAUCAGUGUUUUUUGGGUAUAGAAGUUAAGAUAUAUGAUUCCUGUUAUGCAUGGAUCACUAGGAUUACUGUAUAUGCCGUGGGAUCUUAAGGUGUUGUGGUCGUUGUCCUCGCACCAACAUGAUCUGCACAUCAUGAGUAGUUAGUUGCUUUGAUGUUAUACUGGUCAAGGCCUAGAUCUAGUUACCACGUGGGUCAAACCUUCAAGUAUUUAGAAGUUGCUGAAUAUAAAUGAUAACGCAUGUUAAUCAAAGUCAUUGAUCACAUCUAAUGUGAGACUAGUUGAAUUAAUUUGUAGGCCUCAAGCCAAUUGGCUGGACCGAAACUGUUGGGACAUGGUUUGUUUGUUAAUGACUGCAUCUCGUUACGUUGUUCACAUAAGACAGGAGGUGGUGAGAGAAGUUGUUGGGAGCGGACAGGGGAGAAGUGAAGCACCACUCUCUAUUUGGGCCUCUCCGGUCCUUAUGAUCUCCAUUUGGGCUUAAGAAGAGCCCGAGUCUUUCAAUACACAUGGCCAGCCCCAUAAUUCUGAAUCUUACGAGUUCUGGGCCUAAGACCAGCCCAAGUACAGCCCAACCCAAGUUGUUUAAAUAUAAUAAUUGCAAAAUUGUUCUAUCCCUGUGCCAGCAACUCCUUUCCCCGCCUCGUAAACUAUGCAAGAACUCUCAAAUUGACUUUCUUGGGGAUGCCAUGAAGUUUAAAGGAUGGUUGGGCAGUGUGAAGAUAAGACAAUUCAUGACUUGAUGUUGUGCAAAGUAAAAUCAUGUUUUUAGAAUGAGUAAAAUCUUGUGAUGGAUGAGAAAGAACUAUUCUUAGUUUGUCUGUUUCCUUUUACUCAACCUUUGGCUAUUACUUCUAUUUUUUGUAAAUAAGAAAAUGAAAAUAAUUGGAAUAUUUGAUUUUCUAUGUACUUCCACCCAAAGCUUUAGAUAUAAAUAUUUAUCUGUUCCUUUGAAUAUCUUCUCAAAAUUAUCUUGCGGGAUUUAGGUGACAUUUGAUCCCAUUUUUUGAUUUGAAAUUGGAAUUAAAAUUUUCUAGUGUCAGUAUAUGAAUGGCAAACUCUCUUACUGUCUUUCGUUUAUAAACUUUGGAAUUCUAAUCAAUUAAGUAUGAGAACAAUAACAUUAUCUAAGAUUAAUACAUUAGUUAACUUCCUAUAACAUUUUUAUUAUUAUUAAAUUAUAAUUAUUUAUUUCAUAAUUUUGUUAUUUAUUUUAUACUUUAUAUUAUAUGUUAUAUGAUUUAAUAAAAUAAAAAUAUUUCAACCCCUUAUUUAUUAUUUACUAUGUUAAGAAGACUAAAAUUAAUUAGUUAUUGUACUUUAUCAUGAAUGUUAUCAUUAAAGUAUUUUGUUUGAUUGAAUGACCUUAACUAAGAUUUAUAGUCUGAUUUUGGUACAUAAACAAAAAUAUUUUGUCAUUUUAAAAUUAUUUUGUUAAUUCUUUAGAAAUGAGAAUUGAGAUUUAUGCUGUUGCUUGUCUUAACUAAUCAUGCAUCAAGUACCACAUGCAUUCUAACUACGAUCUGGAUGGGUACAACAAAAACAGGCUUCCAUGCCACAUAAAUUGUUACCUAGUUUAAAUUGCUAAUUUACUUUUGACAUGCUAAUGCAACUCAUGUUCAUGUUUUUUUUUUUUUUCCCUCUAAAGAAAAGCUGAUCAUUUGCCAUUACAUCAUUGUCAAGCAACACAAAAUUCCCCCAUCAUGUUGACUUUUACAAAGGUUAGUGCUUGACAAGAACCUUGAAGGGAAACAAGCUUUAUUUUCUGCCGCAAGAGUUCCAAGGAAGAGAAGCAGGCCAGCAAAUCACUCCAUCGAUUGCAGAAUGGCUUGGAAUUAAAGAAGAGUCGUCUGUGUCCACCAUGAUCCAUAUGGUCCAACCCUAUGUGAUUUCUGAGGACUAAGUGCUCCGAAGCUGCUUAAUGAUCAGCUAAUGGAAUAAAGAGGACAGGGACAGAAAGGGACUUUGGAUUUACGAAAUAGGGGAAUCACCCAAGUAGAAGAAUCAGGAACCAAACUUCAAGUAAUUGGUGGCUCUCCUUGGCUCAUCUAGAUUACGAGAUAAAGAGCAUGAUUCAUGAUCUUUCAUUGCUCUAAAAAGUAUAUUUCCAUAGAUAGCGAGGACGAACACGAGGAUUUCCUAAGACAUUGCCGGGUGCUCCGGCAGGGGAUGGGGUUUUAUCAGCUUUGACCAGAGAAGAGGACGGGAUAAGGUAUAACUUUUAGAAUCUUUUAUCAGUACCGCUUAUCAUCGUCCCUCACCCAUCUUAAAAACUGCGGUCUUGAUAAUUACAUAACAGUAAUUAUUUUUUUACUAUAUUAUAAAUAAAAGUAGUCUCAUGCAUUUAUUCAUAUAGCAAAUCCUAGUAUUCAUGUAUUGCACUGGUGAUGGUAUUUUAUUUUUUGGUCUAUAAAGAGACAUCAUCCUAAUAGUUAAAAGCACUUUGUUUGCUAUUUAGAAGUCAAGGACUAGUGGUAAUCUUUUAAUGGGAGUGUCCUUUUUUUUCUUUUUUUUUUUUUUCUAAAGGUGUUUGGUGACAGAGAGAUAAAAUAAUUGUUAGGGAAAAUGCGCUUGAAGAAAUGCAGAAUCUCUAUAUUUUGUGAUUAAAAAAAAUCUCUUCGGCUAAUAAAGAAAGAAAAUGAUGAUAUGGUGGGAUGGAGCCGAGUUUAGAUCGACCCUCUCACUCUUCUUUUCUACAGGGCCAAGUCUAAAUGAAAGUUUGGUGUCUGUCAUGGAGUGGGAUUAUUCUCAAGUAGCACUAAGUCUUUUUUGGACGCAUUCAAUGAUUUACUGUUCUUACUUUUUCUUGAUGGGGUAAUGAUAUGACAUACGUUCUUUUCCCUGCUUGAUUUAUUAAACAAGCUUCAAAAAUAGGGUAUAAGGAUAUUUCAUCCUUAUGAAUUUAGAUCUGCUAUUCAUUUCUUUAUGUUAUAUAUAUAUAUCCAGUUUUGCAUAAAUAAAACUGUAUCCGUUGAAGUCUCUUGUGACCAGAAGAUGAUAAAAUUUUGAUUACCCAGGAAGUGGCUGGUAACAUAAAUCAAGUUAAUUUUCUUCAAAGACCAUUAAUGCUGCUUUAAAGUGGCCUCUAAAAUGCCAACCCUUAACCUUAACACAACUUGGUCCUGGCUUCUCCAUUUUAAUGGGAUUACAAAUUAGCCACUAGAAAUAAAAUUUUGUAUUAAUCUUUUUUUUUGUUGCUUAAGUACCACCUUGCAAAAAAGGAGUUUCUCUUUUUUAAUUUCUAUCCUCACAAUAUAUAUACAUAUAUACAUACAUAUGUAUAUAUAUGCAAUGUUACCAAAAUAAAAAAAAAUCAAAGUAAAUCACACUUGAUUUUCUUCCUUCUGUGGGGAGGAUGAACCUAAUGCUUUUUUAACUAAAAGAAUGACAUGACCAGCCACACUUGCUCCAACCUAAAGAGAGAACCUAGAGACCAAAUCCUACCAG